rnacentral:rRNA from 1 species
GACGAACGCUGGCGGCGUGCCUAAUACAUGCAAGUAGAACGCAGUUGCGAACGGGUGAGUAACGCGUAGGUAACUGCCUCAUAGCGGGGGAUAACUAUUGGAAACGAUAGCUAAUACCGCAUACUGUGAGAUGGGCCUGCGUUGUAUUAGCUAGUUGGUGAGGUAAAGGCUCACCAAGGCGACGAUACAUAGCCGACCUGAGAGGGUGUUAGUGCCCACAGGGACAGUGCGACGGGGCCGACUCCCCUGGGAGGCGCAAGAAUGGGAUCUUGUGGAAAGGGCAGAGAUCUGACCGCGCAACGCGGCGUGAGUGAGGAAGGUUUUCGGAUCGUAAAGCGCUGUUGUGAGGGAAGCGGUAACUAAACAGAAAGGGACGGCUAACUAACUGCCAACAGCCGCGGUAAUAC